UGGAAGCCACACAGGGGCAUAGCAAUGUUGGAAUGGGCCCAGAGAUGAGAUUUUAAAAUGGAACCCCCUGUCACUGCCUUCCUCUCCUAAUACAAGAGGGGUGGGGGGAAGGGGAGGGAAGACAGAAAAAAAUAUCAUCCAAGAUGUGAUGGAGAAAAAGAAGAAAGUCCAUGGGAUGGAGUGGGCCCCCUCCCUGGAACUCUUUAGAGCAGAGUCACGAUAAUGCUCAGCACAGUCCAAUGCAAUGACCAGCCUACAGAGAGACUUUUUCAUGCUGGUAAGGAUGUUAAACCACGAACAUCUAUCGGGGGUGCAUUUCAUAGCCUAGGAGUGACUACAGAGAAGGCCUGUUCCCGAGUCACCGCCAGAUGAGCUGUGGUGGAGGGCCCUGAACAAAGACCAACCCAGGGCACGCAAGGUUUCACUUGGAAGUCUUGCAAACUUGAAAAUGAACUCUUGAUGCUCCUGGACUCCUGAUCGAAUCUUACCCAUUGGUUAAAUAGGACAUUUGUCCUGGCUGUUGGUGUUCAAUUGUUGCCACACAGCAAAGCAUUGCCUUUGCAGGGGCGGCCCUUUCAUGAGGCAAGGUGAGGCCAUUGUCUUAGGUGGAAGAUUAUUGGGGCACCAGCAGGGCGGCAAAAUCCUCCCUGCUGCUACAAUCAGAGCAGCACUCUGGAAGUAAUCUGCUCCUUGCAAGCUUUGUGCCUAUCCUCACGCCCUUUGCAAAGCUUGUAAGAAGCUCCACGAGAAACGAGGAGGCUUCUGGCAACCUUGUUUUCUUCCCACCUAUGCAAAGCUUGCAAGGGUCAGUUUUGAAAGGGGGAUGGCCCCAACCAGGGACAUGGGGCAAGACAGCAUUUGGCAGCUUGCCUCAGGCACUGCGAUUCCUUGGGCUGCCCCUGCACCUUUUCUGGGACACAUGUUAUGGGAUCAAAGCUUGUUGGCAGCAGUGAGGUAUGUAUGUACUCUGUGAUUCUCCGGAAGCAAAGAAGCAAACUUUGAAAUAUGAUGUUGACGGUAGAAUUUAAUUUCACGGGCCCUUAAAAAAAAUCAAGCUUAUGAGGUGGCUAACUGGCCAGAAAAACUGCCUGGCCUGCUCCUGUGCCUUUAACCCAAUCUGCAGAAACCAAUAGGUUAAAGUUUCUGCAGAUCAGGCUACUACUAAACGUAGAGGAGCAGGGACUAGGAAAAAUGUUGACAACCCUAAACACUCCUCAGAUAAUUCCGGAAAUAUGCUUGAAGGUGUGUGGAAAUGUCUGCUGAAAUCUCAGCCGCUCAUGGAGUUGCUGAGGAAGAUUCCCCUUGAGCAUUGGGUGUUCGACUUAGUUUUUUGCCUUCUUCACAAAUUAUGCCCAUUUGCUUAAUUUGCAUAAUGUUUACCGGUUGCAGAAUCCAGUCUGUGUGAUCACAAAAUCAGGAACGGAGCCAGGCUGGCGGCAGCGGCCCUCUGGCCCCGCCCCCCGCGUCUGACGUCAGACGUGCCUGGUUAGCCAUGCCCCCGCAUCUGACGUCAGACACGGCAGGCAUGGUUUCCCUUCCAAACAAGGCUGCGUAGCCCCAUUUGGAAAGGAGAUCGGCCCACCCUGCUUUGAGCCAAUGGAGCAGGGACCGAUCUCUCUCCUAACUGGGGCUGCCCAAUGGUGGCUCCGCCCCUGCACAAAAUAUGGGUUACUUUGGUGCAGAAUUUUGGUUUAGUGCACAGUCCUGGCCCAGUCAUCUAUUGUCCAGUUUAAGCUUCCUUUGAACUGUGCAGUCUUGUGCUUUGCAUUAGGAUAAUAUAAGUAAGUUGGCUGGAGCUGAAUGCAAAAUGGAAGAUUAAUUUUAAUUUUAAUGAGUUUUAAUUUGAUUCAAAUAUUUUCUGAUUUUCCUUGUUUUAUUUUAAUGUAAAGCAACCCGAGAAGGGUUUUGCACAGACCAUUCAAUGUCAAGCCGGUUUGCCUGAUAUCAGGCUGGUUUGGUGGUUCGAUUGUGGACUGAACUGAAUCAAACAUGGUUCAGGCAAACCAGUUCAGCAUCAAGUGUAUGUGAUGCCUUGUUAGCAAGCUGUCCACAUGGUGGCGACAUGGUGGCGGACUCUGCUCAUGUGAGGAGGCCAUUUGCAUGGUGUCCUCACUUGAGCCACUUUAGGAAGGGCAGUGUAUAUAUUGAAUGAAUGAAUGAAUGAAUGAAUGAAUGAAUAAGAUUGUACACAAUGUUAAAACGUAGGAUGGACAUGUCAGAGACAGUACUCAAGGUAAAGGGGAAGCAACUGUUAAUCUGGGAAUUGUGCCAGGCUAAUUGUGGUUAGAUUUUGAUUAAAAGCUCUGCAUUUUUCUGGUUUCUGUAAAAUAGAUUACUGAAAUGUCUUUGGGGUUUCUGCAAACCUAUCAGUAAUUUAGCUACAAAAGAUAACCCACUACUAAAAAAGUUUGAGACAAUUAUAAAAUUCACUCUGAGUUUGGUUCUCUCUUCUUGGUAGAUGGUUUUGUUGGAGCUAGGAUCUUGCCUGGCAGCAUCAGCUCUCAGCUGCAAUGCCUCAUAGUGACCACUAGUGGGGGGUUAGGGUCAUGGAUAAAAGUGCUGGACUCUUUGUUCUUCAGGUGUUAGUCUCCAUUUUUUCUCUCCAGAGAUGGCUGUUUUGGUCUCUCUAGCCACGAGCUACAGCUGAA